rnacentral:lncRNA from 1 species
AACUAGAAGAAGGUACUAAUUAUACGCAUAAACCAUGAAGCACACCUUGCUAUUACUGAGUACUAACCAUUAUAUUGUGUUUUUCAUGUAGGGGUUCUAGAUCUCCCAGCUUCAAGGGAGAAUGAGGAUCUCUUUAUCAUUGACUGAUGUGUCCUCGAAGCAACAAAGCUAUUUUAUUUUGGGUAAUUAGGCUGAUGGGAAUCGUUGAAGGUUGAAACUACUUUUGGUAAUUAGGCGGCUGGCAUGGUAGUUUAAGUCUGAAACAAUGCUGCUGAAUAUUUUGGUAAAUAGUUGCCCUAGGGCAGCACUACACAACCUGAAAAACUGCAGUUAUGCACAUGUUCUGUACUGAACUAGUGACUAAUGUGUAAAUCUUCUAUAUAUGCUUGUGUACUAAUUAUGAUAUGCUAAGGUACACUAUGCUUGUUCUGUUCUAUGCG